UUGAUUUUUGUGUGAGUUAUUCUGAUAGAAGUGUAAGUGGUAUUCCGCUGCCGUAUUAAUUCACAUUUUUCUAAUGACUAAUGAUGUUGAACAUCUUUCCAUGUACUUUAUUUAAAAAGUUUUUUUUUUAAUGUGUGUUUGUUUUUGAGAGAGAGAGGGAGACAGAGCAUGAGUGGGGGAGAGGCAGAGAGAGAGGGAGACACAGAAUCUGAAGCAGGCUCCAGGCUCUGGACUGUCAGCAUAGAGCCUGAUGCAGGGCUCGAACUCACGGGCCGUGAGAUCAUGACCUGAGCCGAAGGUGGAUGCCCAACCGACUGAGCCACCCAGGCGCCCCUCAUGUAUUUAUUUUCAAUCUUUUUAUCUUUGGUGAAGUGUCUGUUCAGACGUUUGAACAUUUUUUUCUAUCGGCUUGAUUGCUUUCUUAUUGAGUUUUCAGAGUUCUUUAUAUAUUCUGCUAUCAGAAUAUAUAAGAUAGGUGUUUUGUAAGUAUUUUCUCCUAGUCUGUGGCUUGUCUUUCAUUUCAUAAUGGUGGCUUUUGAAGAAAAGAAGUUUUUCAUUGUUCUGAAGUCCAGUUUAUUAAUCGUUUCUUUUCAUGCUUUUUGUGUUGUAUAAAGAACUCUGCCAAACCUGAGGUCACAAAGAUUUUCUCCUCUGUUUUCUUCUAGAAGCUUUACGGUUUUAGGUUUUAUAUUUACGUUUAUAAUCUAUGUCAAGUUAAUUUUUAUAUAAGGUGUGAGAUAAGAAUCUGUGUGUGUGUGUGUUUGUGUGUAUAAAUCCGUUUGUUCUCUUUGUAUUUGUUGAAAAGACUACACUUUCUCUUUUGAGUUAUGUUGGCCCCUUUUUCAAAAAUCAGUUGAUCUUAUGUGUGUUCCCUUUCUGGACCCUGUUGUGUUUCAUUGUCUACGUGUCUUUCCUUUCACCAAAAUCACACUGUCUUGAUUACUGUGGCUUCAUAGUAAGUUUUGAAAUCGGGUAGCAUGAGUCCUCUUGACUUCGUUCUUUUUCCGGGUCGUUUUGUCUAGUCUAAGCAUUCACAUUUUUAUAUUAAUUGUACAAUCAGCUGUUGAUUUCUUCAAAAAGGCCUGCUGGGAUUUUGAUUGGGAUUGCAUUGAAUCUGUAAAUCAGUUUGGGCAGAAUCAACAUCUUGACAAUGUUGAGCCUUCCUAUCAAUGCAUAUGGUAUACUUCUCCAUAUAUUUAGGUCUUUGAUUUCUCUUCAUCAGAGAAUACAGAUCUUGUACGUUACUGUUAAAUUUUUACCAAUGUAGUUCACGUUUCUUGGUACUUUUGUAAAUUGUAAAACAUUUUCCAGUUACUGCUAAUACAUAGAAAGACAGUUAUUUUUUUAUUUUUUAUUUUAAUGCUUGUUUGUUUCUGAGAGGGAGUGAGAGCGAGCACACGAGGGAAGGGCAGAGAGAGAGGGAGACAGACGAUCUGAGGCAGGCUUCGUGCCGACAGCAGAGCGUCCGAUAUGGGGCUCGAACUCACGAACAAACAAGAUCAAGACGUGAGCCGAAGUCAGAUGCUUAACCGACUGCGCCACCCAGGCACUCUGUUUUUAAAUAGUGAUUACGUAAGCAUAGGAUUUUAAUGGCUUGGGUGCUUGGUAUUGGGUGUUAUUUUUCAGAGGAAGAGUUGCAGAAUGGAGAUUUUUGUUUUUCUUGUUGGACUCUCAAGAAUAUCACCUCUGCCCCAUGACAUUCCCUAAGAUGGUCAAGUGUGAAUGUCUUCUACUGAGACAGAUGUGGCAUCUUGGGUGAGUUGCCUCAGCCUUUGGGUGUCAGUUUCCUGCCUGUGAAGCGGAAAGCAGUGGACAGAACUGGAUCAGAUGACCCGGUGAGGGCUCUUCUAGCCCGGAGUUUGAUGUUCACACAGGCCGCAGGGUGGGAGCUUCAGAAGGGCCCUGCGUCCUGGACUUAAGGAACCCUCUCCUUAUUUCACAGAACAGAGAGGGGAGGGCAUUUGCCCCGGGUCGCACAGUGGCUGACAGUGAAGAGAAGACAGGUCUCUUGUUCCCCAGUCCAGCCCCUCACCCCUGAUUCCAUGGGGAAAGACAGCCCAGCGGGAGGUGACUCCACAGCUGGGAGGGAGAGACUGGGGAGGCGGCCAUCGGUGCUGGCAGCCACGAGGCUGGCUGCCGGGAGCUGUGACCCUCAGAAGUGGCCAGUUCACGUUUGGGCUGUUUUCAAAGUAUAAAAGCACCGUGCUUGGAAAUGCGGGUUUUGGCUGACCUCACCCCGAGUGUGGAGUUUAAAGGCCUUUGUAACUCUUUGGUUUGGAACCGGGUCUGGGCAUGGCUGGGGAAAACACUGGAACCCAUUAGUGCGCGUUCCAAUUGCUCUGCCUCUGGGAGAGGGAAGCAGCCUCCUCUCCCCUUAGUCACCGCAGACAGCCCAGGAACCUGAAGGGUACGAGCAGGGAGGAGAGGUCAGGGGAGAGGAGGUGAGUCCUCGGCCACAGAGGCCCCAGCCUGGCCUUUGGUUGAUGGUGCCAGGAGCAGCCCAGAAUUUCAUGCCUAUUUGCUUUGAUUUUCAUGGCACCUCUCUGAGUUACCCCAUUUCACAGAUAAGAAACUGAGGAGAGAGGUUUCACUUCCUUGCCAGAGCCACACAGGGAGCAAGUGAAGGAGAUUUGACUGGAACCCGAGUUUUCCCUGAAGUCAGAAGCUGGUGGGACGGGGACAAGCUGCCGAUGGGCACAGGGUUUCCGUUGGGGUGAGAAAAAUGUCCUGGAAUUAGAUAGUGAUGGUGGCCGCACAUCGUUGUGUGUGUACUCAGUGUCACUGAACUGUAUGUUUAAAAAUGGCUAAAUGGUUAAUGUCAUAUCACGUGUGUUUUACCACAAUUAAAAAAAAAAAAAAAGCUGGUGUGCCCUUUUGCCCGUCAGUGCUGCCUCCCUCCACAGCAGGCUCCUUGGCAUGGGGGAGUAUGGGCCGUGGCACCUGGCCCUCCUGGUCGGUGGAGCUGCCCAGGGUCCAGGCAGAAGGGCAGGCAGGGGCUUUGGCCAACGGAUAGCCACAGCCAGGUUGGCUUUUGCACGCCAUUCCCCUCUUUAAGGAUAGAGAGAAACUUAGACCCUGGCAGCAUCCCCAAGAGGAUGCUGGGACACUGUCCCAGAGCUCUUGAUCCACACAAAAGAGGUGGGACCUCGGGUGACCAUGGCCUGCUGGCCACCAAAGCCAUGCCAUAGUCCAGGGCUGGGCUGGAGCCAGAGUGGCUGCCCUGGUGCCCACCCGGUUGGCCUCUGGUCUCUGUCCCUUGGUACUGCUGGACGUGAAGACUCUUCCCCCACCAGAGCCUUCCCCUUUGGGAGGGAAAUCAGGGAAGGAAGUCAAAACCUAAUUGCCCAUAUUUUUUAGAGAUGCAUAAUGAAGGAUGCGGGGGAAAUGAAAUGAGGGACUUCAGCCAAAACAAACAAGCAAAUAACUAAAUAAAAGGGACGUAAAUGAAGCAAUCUUGAUAAUUGUUGAAUCUGAGUGAGCGUUAGCUCAGGUUGGGUUCUUAGAAGCAGAACCCAAGGUGGGGAUGUGGACAGACGCGGCUUACCCGGGGGCACCUUCUCAGGAGAAGGGGGGUGAGGGAGGCGGGAUGGGGCAGUGAGGAUGUGGUCUCAGCUGGAGUCCAGCCUCAGCCUGACCCUUUGGGGAGUCUCCCCGGAGCAGGAAUUGCAACUCAGAGCUGGUCACACCUCACACCGGGAGGCAAGGGAUUAGCCUUUGUUCCCUGUCAGUUAGUCACUGGCUGUCAGCGUAUGCAUGUGUGUAAACACACACACACACACACACACACACACACACACACACACACACACACAGGUUGGGGGGCGGGGGCUAUAAAUGCCUGACCAGGAUGAUUCUCCCAAUAAGGGGCAUCUGUGAGCCAUUAGCAGCCCCGAUGUCCCAGUAGCCGGGCAUAGAGGGGACUUGGGUGGGGUAUGUAACAGCACCCCCUACAUGGAUAUAUGGGAGUCUCUUGUUACUAUUCUUUCUACUUUUGGUGUCUGGUUGAACACUUCGUUAAUGAGAAACAAGACAUCUCUGCUGAAACAGGGUUCUGAGAAGGAAGGAAGAAAAAGGGAAUUCCCGCCCCUUGAGUGCUGGCUUUGUGCCAAAGCACCUCACCGUCCUCUUUCACCUGGGUUCUUUCCCUGACACGAAUGGGGUAUUUGAGACUCAGAGAAGUUAAGAAACCAGUCCUAGGUCUACAGUUGCCAGAUUCAGCCAAUACAGGAUAUCCAGUUAUAUUUGAAUUUCAGAUGAACGGCAGCAACGGAUUUUAUUUUUAUUAUUUUUUUAAUGUUUAUUAUUUUUGAGAGAGAGAGAGACAGAGACAGAGAGCAAGCAGGGAAGGGGCAGAGAGAGAGAGGGAGGCACAGAAUCUGAAGUAGCCUCCAGGCUCUGAGCCGUCAGUACAGAACCCAGUGUGGGGCUCGAACUCACAGACUGUGAGAUCAUGACCUGAGCCGUAGUCGGCCGCCCAACCAACUGAGCCACCCAGGUGCCCCAGCAACAACAGAUCUUAGGAUAAGUAUGUCCCCCAUAGUUUUUGGGGCAAACGUAUACUGAAAAGUUAUUUGGUGUGUACUUGAAAUUCACAUUCUCACUGGGCGUCUUGCCUUUGACCUGAGAGCCCUGUCUAGGCCACGUAUCUUAUAAGGGGUGGAGCUAAGAGUUACACUCCAGUGGGCUGAUGCUAAAGCUUAUGUUUUUCAAUCGUGUCGGGUUUACCACUAACAAAAGGCUUUUGGAGGCAGAAUCUUGCCAGGGCCUCAUACGGCCUGAUAGCAGAGCCCAUUGGAAUCACGUGGUCAGCUUUGAAAAAUUCUGAUGCCUGGGCCCCACUCCAGACCAAUGCAGUCAGUCUCUUUUGGACACCUCCACCUCCAGAACUUUUUUAAAGCACCACCGGUGAAUGAGUCUAGCAUGCAGUCAGGGCCAAGAAUCACUGGCCAGGGCCCCCAGCUCUCCAUGUUCAUGAACGUGGAAAGGAAUAUACCAGAGACCAAGAGGGGGUCCGCUGGUGCCCGGAAAAUACCCCAGAGUCCCUGCACCGUUUCUUGGGCCCAGGAAUGUGUUUGGGAGAGGCAGGGAGCCCGGCCCUGUUUGUUCGUCAUCUUCCCUAAUUCAGCAUCCUCCCACGGCCCGCUGCCACCAGCAGGCGGAAGUGCAGCCUGGCACACAAGCCCUGCCCCAAACUGCCGGCACGCUGGGCUCUCUCAUGGCCCCCUAGCUUUGCUGUUCCCUCUACUUGGAAUGCCCUGCUGGUCUGUUUUUGUCCACCUGGCCCGCUCCUCCUGUUCCUUCCAAAGGGCCAGCUCACAGGUCACCUCCUCUCUGGAGCCUGCCUCGGCCCCCACAGCAGAGCCGGUCACCCCCUUCCUCCAGCAACUCAUGGCAAAGACUCCACGAUGGCAGUUCGCUCCUUUGCGGGGAUGAGCAAGGCGUCUGCUUGCUCCUCUCGCUGCCGGCUUGGUAUUGGUCCGUGUCUGAUGGUGGCUCUUGGCACCGCAAGGCCUUUGGUAAAUGGGUAUGGAAUUAGAGGGAGAAGGAAGGAUUUGGUUGAGGGAGUGGGGUCCCGUCUUCCCACGCCAUCGUCCCCAGAAAGGUCCCCUCUUUCCUGCUGCUCCUCUUUUUGGCUAACACUUAAGAUCAUUUGCCUGGAGCCUAGGCCCCGUGCAGCCCAAAGGUAAAUAGGUUUAUAAUGACUUGAGGGAAAAAAAGAAGCAAGUGAGCCAGGAAGUCGGGCAUUGCCAGCUGUGGGCCUGGGGAGGUGGAAAAAGGCCCCUGUGGCAAGCCCUGAGCCUUGGAGCUGGGCCUCAGUGGCCUGGGCUGAGCCUCUGCUUCCCAGAAAUCCUCUGGAUAAACACGGAAGGAAGUGAGGGGUGCAGUCUCCCCCCCCCCUUUGAAACGGGCCGUGGCCCAGAAGGAGGCUGAGUGGCUGGGGAAGGGGGGGCGGCCAGGACCCCACUUCGGAGAGGCCUAGAACGCCUGCUCUUCUGGUGUUAAAAGAAUGACUUAAAAAAAACUGUGGUAAAAUACACAUAACACAAAACUUACCGUUUUAACCAUUUUUAGGUAUAUAGUUCAGCGCCAUCAAGUGCAUUCACAUUAUUGUGCAACCAUCACCACCUUCCCUCCGCAGAACUCUCUUCUUCUUGCAAAGGGAGGAUGGAUGCCUUUUUCAAGCCUCGUAUUAGAUUCUGUUGAAAAUACAACUGAGGGGCUAUUUGUACAUCACUGGCUGGGGGCAUGGAUAAAUAAAGCAGCCCCCUGCCCUUAGGGAGUUCUCAUUUUUGUCCAUCAGGUAGGUCCAAGGAGCCAGGGAGGGUUAGAUAAGAGAGAUUGGCGAGGACACAGCUGAACUUGGGCAGCAGGGGGACCUGGCCGGUGUCAGGCUCCAAGCAGGGCACUGGGUGAUGGGACACAGGCCACUCGUAUAAAUAUAUCUGUUUGUGUAAUCCCCGUGAAAAUUGGCGGGUGGUGGUGCACGGAACGAGUAUCACGAUAAGCCAGGCAGUUCAGAAAUAGAAACACACCUGCCCAUUACACAGCCACCUUGCUCAGCUUCCUCUCUGGCCUUGAGCGUCUUCUCUUGUAUGGGUGUUUUCACACCAUUGUGAUGCGGUGGCAGAGAAGGUAACAUUUUCUUUGCUGUCUUCCUCAAGUAACGUCAUAUUAGAAUCGCUUUUUCAUGUUGCACCCCCACGCUUCCUGAUGUUUCCCAACAGCCCUGCCUUGCCCAGGGAGCGGUUCUGCCGUUAACCCUGCUAGGGGGUGAGGUGGGUGUGGGGCUUUGGCUGCAUGUGGGGCCGGAGGACAGGUAAUGUCCCCUGAUAAGGGGCUGAAAUGUGGAAGGAGCAGGCCCUUCCUUUUGAGCAGGGUCAUGGAUGGUGGCAGCUGGGCACGUUUAUGUGGCAUCUUUGAGGCCAUGCAGGUGCGUCCCUGGGCACCCCUCUUGUGGUCCUGUGUCACCUGUGGGGAGCUAAGACUCUCACUUGGCUACAGAUGGAACCCAAGUGUGGGUCACUCAACCUGGCGGCCUUGAGGACCCUAGAGGUAGCCCGUGAACGUCUGGCAUUGGGUGUCCAUCUUCCUAGGGCCUCAGAUUGCCCCUUGCAGGGCCUCCUGCAGAGCGAGCCUCACCCAGACUGUCUGGUGGACCUCACGGAGGCAGGUGGGGCUGUGCAGGGAGGCCAGUGUGCGGGGCCUCGAGGGCCCUUGGUGAGGGAGGGGGCCGGGGAAGGCUGCCAGUGGCGGCAUUUUGGUUAGCUUAAAACACACCCCGUGGCUUUUGUUUUCCAGAGAAACAUAUGGCCCAUUAUGGAAAAUUUGGAAAGUGUAGAAAAGUGCAAAGAGAUGCAGGGAAGGGACCACAGUCCUACCCUCCAGAGAUAACCACUGUUAACAUUUGGCUUGUUCUGUUUAAAUUGUUUUUUUCUGUUAGAAAAUACAAUUUUGUAUCCUGCCUCUCCCCCUUAGCAUUAUAUAAAUAUUUUCCCGUGUCAUUAACUCUUCGUAAACAUUGUUUUUCACGGCUGCGUUUUAUUCCAGCCUAGGGUUCCACCAGCGCUGACUUAGCAGCUGGUAAGUCGGACACCUGGCCCCCCCAGGUGGGAAGAUGAACCCCAGCUGUGAGGAGGGCCCUGCCCGUGGGGGUGGGUGCUGUGGCUCUUGUUCCUUGCGUUCUCUCUCUGGCCACUCCUCCGGGCUGCGUUGCUCCCUGCCCGGGCCUGGCCCCAGGGAGGUGGACGUCCUGCGUGGGUGGCAUUAAUCACCGUCUCCUUUGAGCUCCAGAAGCCCUGGGCAGGGAUGGUGUGGCUCUUCCAGGAAGCCUUCUCUGGUCUCCCCAGCCUGGGGUGGCAAGUUUGUGCUUCUCCCUGAACUCCCAGUAAGCAGGAGCCUUUGCACACACUGCCCCGAUUGUGUGGGUUUACAGGGUGAGCGUCGCCCCUGCCAUACUCGGCCUCUUCUUGCCUCACAGAGCACUGGCUUUAGGGCAUGCCUUGCCAUUCCCUGACUGUGUGACUUUGGGCCAGUUCCAUAACCUCUCUGAGUUCUUGCUUGGAUUCUUUGUCUGCAAAGCGGGCGUGAUAUUGCCCUGUUUGCUUGGUUGUUGUGUAAAUGAAAAGAGAUCAUGUAUCCCAGGUGCCUGGCACUGUCCGAGGGAACACGGCGGGUGCCUGGUAAGGGGUGAGGGUUAUUCGGAGUGUGAACGGCAAGAUUAUACUGUCGUGUCGUCUCCCCUAUUCACCCGCAGGAAUGAGCGGCCCUGUGGGGAAUGGCUGACCUGAACUGCAUUUGACUUAGCUAGAGUUGAAUGAACUAUCUUUGCUCCCUUUUUCUUCUGCCCACACUUUGGUUGGGGAAACUGAGGCCACCCUGAAGUUCCGCCUACACUCCGUGACUCUUGGCAGAUCUCUUGAGGGUGGCUUAGGAAAAGGUCUGUGGGGAUUCAGGAACACACUGGAUACAUCAGUUGGUGAGCCAGGGAAAUUAGCAGUAACGAGCUCAUUUCGAUAGCAAUGAGCUGAGUCUCCCUCCAGCUGCCAGACAUUUAUGAGGCUGGCUGGGUGCCGGCGGCCGGAGGCCUCCAGUGGCCCUCAUCCCUCUGCCUUCCGGCUGGAAAUAAUUCGUAUUUAAAAAAUAACAAUAAUAAAAAAAAAUCUCCAUCUCCUCUGGCUUUCUGAGUCCUUCAGGCCCAGGUGGGGAGGUGGUGGAUGUCUUUGUGAACUCUGUGUGGAGCAGUCGGACAGGAAAGGUCCCCCAGCUUCCCCUCCCUCAUCUGCCAAAAGGUCCGGCCGCUACACCCUUUUGAGCAGACUUGCCAGGGGACUUUGCCUCGCAGGGCCCCUCUGCAGCAGACCCCGCUCUUGGCGAGGGGAGGGUGGUUAGGAUUUCAGUAGGACCCUGCAACAGCUUUGGGUCUUUUUUCCUGCUCAGGGCCUCAGUUUCCCCAUUUGUAAAGUGAAGGAAGAGAUAGGCAGCACGCUGUUUAGGUUUCAGACCCAGAAUUCUAUGGAAAAUGGGGGUCCUGGGGUUGAGAGUUUCCAGUCCUGUCCGGGAACCAGAAUUACCUGCGGCAUGUGUUAGAUGCAGCUUCCCAGGCCUGCUGAGUCAGAAUCUCCAGGGUAGGGCCCAGCAGUGUACAUUUCUGGGGCAAUUUUUAAAACUGAUACUAAAUUCAAGUAACCUAACACACAAUUCACCAUGUUGAAGCGUGCCAUUCAUUGGUUCUUGGUAUAUUUUCAGUGUUAGGCAACAUCGCCACUGUGGAAGGGAAUGUACAUUUUGCAUAAGUGCCCCAAGAGAUGCUGAUGCCACCCAUCCCUCUGGGGACCUCUGCCAGCGAGUGUCCCUGAGGUGUUGAUUCGGACCCUUGGAUACCAGGCAGUGAGGCCGCUCCUUGCUCUAGUUUCCUGCGGAAGGAAUCCGGUGUCCGGGAUCUCUGAAGUGAGAUGAGGGGUAUCCUGGAAGAGAAGGCCAGGUUGCAGGAGAGGGAGUCCUGUUUCCUCACAACUUUGGAGGGGAGCAGAGGCUCCUCCCCCAUCACUGUCCAGGGCACCCCAUACCUUACAAGCCAGUGAGCACUCACUCGGAUCUGAUGACCCUUUAAACUCCCAGCUUGGGAUUCUGAGGGUGGCCUGGGCUGCUUUGGGCUCACAGCCAGGAUGUUUGCACAGUGGUGGCCCACGAGGCUCCUUCCACCCCCAGGGACACACUUCUCCUCUUUCUCAGCCCACCUCUGCAGGUGUCGGCAUCCCUUUACCGCCCUGACCACGCACCCCAGCUCCAGGCACUAGGGGCUGAGGCAUUGGUCCUUGUGAACCACGCAUGCCACAUCCUCUGUGAAUUCUCCUCCAAGCAGUUUGGGGCAUUUGGGAACUUCACCCCCGAGCAGACAGGCCUUUGAGAGGGCCCCAGAGUCUGGGGUGGGGGGGGGGGAGGGGCAAGUGACCGUAAUACCCACCUUGUCAGUGAAGGGGACAAGUUCUCUCCCUGUGUGCCCUCAGCUUCCUGUCCAUAGCCGGAAGCGUCUGCCCUGAGGGUGUGUCUGGCAGACUUGGGCAGGCCACGCCCCCUCAGGCAGUGAGACCCUGCACAAGGUCCUCUGCGGCCCUGUUAUUUGUGGCCUUGAGGCUCCCUGGGGUGUCCAGCCGAGACAGUAAUUGGUAUUCCCAAGAAUGGGACUCAGCCCAUAGCACUCUUGCUCGUUGACCCUUCCUCUGGGAAAGGGGUGGCUGGACGGCUCUGUGUCCCCUGCCUGAUGCAGCUCCUGGCUCUCAGGGUCACCAUUGGUAUUUCUGACCCUGUCCACAGUCAGCACCUCCUCCUGAGCCCCCAGCCUUACUUAAGGAAGCCCCGUGGAUCAGUAGACACGGCUUUUGCCUCUGACUGACCGCUGGGCUCUUUGGCCCGAGACCUGGCUUUGCUUCUGGGCUUGGGUGCUUUUACUGAGUUCUUGCCUAAAUCGUCUGCUCUGAAAUUCUUUUCUUGGGAGCUCUGGCGGGUCUGGCAGUCCCGAGUGGCUGCCCCUCCGUGGUUAGCAUGUAGUGGGCCACGCUCCUGUGUGACCUUUCCCUCAGUGUGCCUCAGUUUCUACAUAGGACGUAACUGUUCCUUUCUAGCCCUGCCCUGCCAUGAGUCACCCCUGCCCUGGAUGUGGCAGCUACCCAGGGAAGGCUGAGUGAAUGAAUGGAUGCACUCGCCAGCCAGAGACCCUGCCGUGCCUUAUUCCUGUGGGAUUCUGAGAGUCCCCUGCAGUUUGCAGUGAGAACGUAGCAGCUGAGAGUUCACUUUCUUAGAAGGGUUGGUGGCUCUGUAGUGGGGCAGUUUUUUCCAAGGUCCCACCCAACGCCCCGCUCCCAGCCAAGCCCACAAGGUUGACUUGGGUGGCAUUCUCUUGGGGUGGCUGAUGGUAGGGCUUGGAUGGUGAGCAGAGGCUUCUGGGCUGGCACGGAGUCAGUUUCUGCAUCUGACAGUGGGUAGCUACCUGCAAGGGCUUUUGUGAGUGUGAAACGAGAUGAUGUUGCUACCACCUGAGCAGAUACUGUCUUCCUAGCCAUCCAUGUCACCGGUGUCCUUGUUAAGCAGAUGAGCGAAGAGGAGGCUCCCAAAGAGGUCCAGUGGCUUGGUCAUACAGCUGGUUAGUGAAGGGACCAGGCACAAGUUCUGCCCGAUGCAAAGCACAUCCUCUUUCUUGCCUUUUUUU